rnacentral:rRNA from 1 species
UACGGAGGGGGCUAGCGUUGUUCGGAAUUACUGGGCGUAAAGCGCACGUAGGCGGCUUUGUAAGUUAGAGGUGAAAGCCCGGGGCUCAACCCCGGAAUUGCCUUUAAGACUGCAUCGCUUGAAUCCGGGAGAGGUGAGUGGAAUUCCGAGUGUAGAGGUGAAAUUCGUAGAUAUUCGGAAGAACACCAGUGGCGAAGGCGGCUCACUGGACCGGUAUUGACGCUGAGACACGAAAGCCAGGGGAGCGAACGGG